GAAGCGCCAAGUGCGCAUGGGGACGCUAUAGCAAUUCGUUUGCUGUCCUUCCUCUCCUUCGAAGAUGACAAGGCCUACCAUCGUUUCUUCCUGCCUUUGGGCCGUCAGGCAGUUGGUUGGGACCCGCUCCAACCCUCGGUUCUUCCUGCAAUACAGUGGAUACAAUUUGUCAUGGCUACUCUGAGUGUUAUAGGUUCAAGUUCACUUAUUGCCUAUGCUGUAUUCCAUAAUAUACAGAAAUCUCCAGAGAUAAGACCACUUUUUUAUCUGAGCUUCUGUGACCUGCUCCUGGGACUUUGCUGGCUCACGGAGACACUUCUCUAUGGAGCUUCAGUAGCAAAUAAGGACAUCAUCUGCUAUAACCUACAAGCAGUUGGACAGAUAUUCUACAUUUCCUCAUUUCUCUACACCGUCAAUUACAUCUGGUAUUUGUACACAGAGCUGAGGAUGAAACACACCCAGAGUGGACAGAGCACAUCUCCACUGGUGAUAGAUUAUACUUGUCGAGUUUGUCAAAUGGCCUUUGUUUUCUCAAGCCUGAUACCUCUGCUAUUGAUGACACCUGUAUUCUGUCUGGGAAAUACUAGUGAAUGUUUCCAAAACUUCAGUCAGAGCCACAAGUGUAUCUUGAUGCACUCACCACCAUCAGCCAUGGCUGAACUUCCACCUUCUGCCAACACAUCUGUCUGUAGCACACUUUAUUUUUAUGGUAUCGCCAUUUUCCUGGGCAGCUUUGUACUCAGCCUCCUUACCAUUAUGGUAUGGUACCACCCUACCUUCCUUUGUGGAGAGAUGAGGAAAUGAAGGGGAUGGGCCAGUAUUCCCAGGACCUGGGAAAGAUGGGGCAGAGAGGCACUUCUUGUGGUCCUAGAACUAAGAAAGUAGCUAGGAGAUCUUGACAAUAUAAUUACUGCCUCAGACUUUUGCACUUCCCCAAAUCAAAUGAUAAGAGAGAGAAAAGAGCUUGUAUUUAUUAGGUGAAAAUUAUGCUCACUCUACAACUAGUAUAGGCUUCAUCAAUCCCCUAUGGCCAGAAAACUCAUAUGUGCCAAAUAUAUCCUUUACAUAGUUAGGAUGACACUCUGAAACAUAGAACAUAUGCUUUGAUUUAAUUUUCCAAAUAAUAAAAUAAUUUUCUUUUUUAAAUUCUACAUUUGGCCAUAAAUUUGCAUUUAUGCUAUGUCUAACUGGGGCUAAAGUGCUAAGUGGCUCAUGAAGUUUUCAGAUACUCAUUUGAUAUCAUCAGGAUGAUAUACAAUUAGAAUAAUUAGCCAGGGGAUAGUAAGUUACAUAACUGCCUCAUACAAAAGCAGUAAAUGAGCAAAUAUGCCUUUGUAUUUCCCAUAUCUAUUUUUCAGUAUCAUUUUCUCCUCUUUUUAUAUUUCAGUUCAAGAAUUACAAGGUAUCUACCUGCAGAUCAAAUGUGUCCCACUAGCACCUGUGAACUAGAUACAGUUAUGGGGAAUUUCCUUUGGCAAUUCAAACAUAAGUUAUAGAGAUGGCUUGGUUUGCCUGGGCACAAUGGCUCAUACCUGUAAUCCCAGCACUUUGAGAGGCCAAGGCGGGUAGAUCACUUGAGGCCAGGAAUUCGAAACUAGUCUGGCCAACAUGGCUAAACCCCGUCUCUACUAAAAAUACAAAAAUUAGCCAGGCAUGGUGGCAUGUGCAUAUAGUCCCAGCUACUCAGGAGGCAGAGGCAUGAGAAUCGCUUGAACCCAGGAGACAGAGGUCACAGUAAGCUGAGAUCGUGCCCCUCCAGCCUGGGCAACAGAGGAUACUCUGUCUCAAAACACACACACACACACACACACACACACACACACACACACACACACACGAGAUGGCUCAGUUCAAAUCAACAGGUUGUAAAGAGUACACAAUAACUAGUUCAUAUUAAAAUGGGUUUGAUGGUUUACGUUUGGAACUGACUAACAAGAGAGACAGGUCCCAAAUCCUGGCACCCUGAGGAUUCCUGAUUGCUUCUUUAGAAUAGCCCAGGUUUCAGUGUAUAUUCAGAAUUAGCAUUCUAGAUUCUUUAAAAAUCAGCAGAUGGCGGCCGGGCAUGGUGGCUCAUGCCUGUAAUCCUAGCACUUUGGGAGGCCGAGACAGGCAGAUUGCCUGAGCUCAGGAGUUUGAGACCAGCCUGGGCAACACAGUGAAACCCUAUCUCUACUAAAAUACAAAAAAAAUUAGCCGGGCAUGGCGGCAUGCACCUGUAGUCCCAGCUGCUUGGGAGGCUGAGGCAGGAGAAUUGCUUGAACCCGGGAGGCGGAGGUUGCAGUGAGCUGAGAUCGUGCCACUGCACUCCAGCCCGGGCAACAGAGCAAGACUCCAUCUCUAAAAAAAUAAAUAAAUCAACAGAUGGUGAACUGAUUCUUUUAGACGUUAAGUUUUCUCAAACUCAAGUCUCCUUUUGAUGCUUAUGUAGGGAAAAGAGACUAUGUACAUGGCUGAACUUGAUUAAGUAAUGAGGUUAUUAAUUUAGAGAGUAGAUCUGGAUUAGGGAAAAGAUUCAGAUUUGUUACCAAGAGUGUUAUCUAAUUUAAUUUUUGCAAAAAAACACAUUGGACUUUUGAACUGAUUUAUAUUUGUUUCAUGAGCUAAACCUUAUUCAGACAGCUGACAAUAGGGAAAAAGCAAUUUGUUUUCCAUCUAAAGGCAAGAAGUGACUUUCUUUCUUUCUUUUUUUUUUUUGAGACGGUGUCUCGGUCUGUUGCCCAGGCUGGAGUGCAAUGGCGCAUCUCAGCUCACUACAACCUCUGCCUCCCAGGUUCAAGCAAUUCUCCUGCCUCAGCCUCCUGAGUAGCUGGAAUUAAAGGCACAUGCCACCACGACUGGCUAAUUUUUGUAUUUUUAGUAGACACAGGUUUCACCAUGCUGGUCAGGCUGUCUUGAACUCCUGACCUCGUGAUCUGCCUGCCUCAGCCUCCCAAAGUGUUGGGAUUAUAGGCGUGAGCCACCGCACCGGGUGCAAAGUGACUUUCUAAAACUUCUGUUGCUUAGAGUUGAGAAUUUAAGCUCAGCCAUGGUGCUGAAGUGUUAAGCAUAGAACACUUUCUAACAAAAUCUCUAAUAAAGUGUUUUAAGAGGAACUAGUUAGAGCUUACUUUUAACUUCCUGGGUAAACUGUGAUUAGCCUCAGUGGGGGGAAAUGCCCAGAGGUUGAUGUAAGGUUCAUGUGUUAAACGUGAUACACAAGUUUGGCUAGUUACCUGUCCAUUUCCCUAGCCUAGUAAAAGUUCACUCUGAAGGUAAUUUUCUCUUAAAAAAAAGCCUGAUCUCAGAAAGUAAAGACAAGAGAAUGGGGUCGUUCCUGUUGUGAGAUUCUAAGAGAAUAAUCUUUUUAAAAUGAUAGGAGGAUAGACCUGGGGCAUUUUACUAAGCUUUAAGCAAACUGCUCACUGCUGUACUCAUAUUUAGGUCUUACUUAUCCGAGCCCAGACAUUGUAUAAGAAGUUUGUGAAGUCAACUGGCUUUCUGGGGAGUGAACAGUGGGCAGUGAUUCACAUUGUGGACCAACGGGUGCGCUUCUACCCAGUGGCCUUCUUUUGCUGCUGGGGCCCAGCUGUCAUUCUAAUGAUCAUAAAGCUGACUAAGCCACAGGACACCAAGCUUCACAUGGCCCUUUAUGUUCUCCAGG
rnacentral:lncRNA from 1 species